rnacentral:rRNA from 1 species
AACGAACGCUGGCGGCAUGCCUAACACAUGCAAGUCGAACGAGACCUUCGGGUCUAGUGGCGCACGGGUGCGUAACGCGUGGGAACCUGCCCUUAGGUUCGGAAUAACUCCCCGAAAGGGGUGCUAAUACCGGAUAAUGUCUUCGGACCAAAGAUUUAUCGCCUUUGGAUGGGCCCGCGUUGGAUUAGCUAGUUGGUAGGGUAAAAGCCUACCAAGGCGACGAUCCAUAGCUGGUCUGAGAGGAUGCUCAGCCACACUGGGGCUGAGACACGGCCCAGACUCCUACGGGAGGCAGCAGUGGGGAAUAUUGGACAAUGGGCGAAAGCCUGAUCCAGCAAUGCCGCGUGAGUGAUGAAGGCCUUAGGGUUGUAAAGCUCUUUUACCCGGGAUGAUAAUGACAGUACCGGGAGAAUAAGCUCCGGCUAACUCCGUG